GGGAAUGGUCGGGAUAGCUCAGUGGUAGAGCAGAGG
rnacentral:tRNA from 3 species